GACGAACGCUGGCGGCGUGCCUAAUACACGCAAGUUGAGCGCUGAAGGUUGGUACUUGUACCAACUGGAUGAGCAGCGAACGGGUGAGUAACGCGUGGGGAAUCUGCCUUUGAGCGGGGGACAACAUUUGGAAACGAAUGCUAAUACCGCAUAAAAACUUUAAACACAAGUUUUAAGUUUGAAAGAUGCAAUUGCAUCACUCAAAGAUGAUCCCGCGUUGUAUUAGCUAGUUGGUGAGGUAAAGGCUCACCAAGGCGAUGAUACAUAGCCGACCUGAGAGGGUGAUCGGCCACAUUGGGACUGGGACACGGCCCAAACUCCUACGGGAGGCAGCAGUAGGGAAUCUUCGGCAAUGGACGAAAGUCUGACCGAGCAACGCCGCGUGAGUGAAGAAGGUUUUCGGAUCGUAAAACUCUGUUGGUAGAGAAGAACGUUGGUGAGAGUGGAAAGCUCAUCAAGUGACGGUAACUACACAGAAAGGGACGGCUAACUACGUG
rnacentral:rRNA from 1 species